GCAGCGGUAGCUCAGUGGUAGAGCGUACAAGUCAAAAAGUGACUAACGCUGGUUCAAUCCCAUCGUGGGGCA